GACGGAGGGCGCAAGCGUUGUUCGGAAUUACUGGGCGUAAAGCGCGCGCAGGCGGGCAGGUAAGUCUGGAGUGAAAUUCCGGGGCUCAACUCCGGAGCUGCUUUGGAUACUGUCUUUCUAGGGACCGGUAGAGGCCGGUGGAAUUCCCGGUGUAGCGGUGGAAUGCGUAGAGAUCGGGAAGAACACCCGUGGCGAAGGCGGCUCACUGGCCCGGUACUGACGCUGAGGUGCGAAAGCGUGGGGAGCAAACAGG
rnacentral:rRNA from 1 species